rnacentral:rRNA from 1 species
AUGUAUGAUGAUCCAAGAGAUGCCGCCCCAAGUGAUGGUCCAAGUGAUGCUGCCCCAAGUGAUGGUCCCAGAGGUGCUGCCCCAAGUGAUGGUCCAAGAGGUGCUGCCCCAAGUGAUGGUUCAAGAGAUGCCACACAAAGAGGUGGUGUUGCUACUUCAAAUAACAAGCAUGUGAAGGAAUCAAAGAAGGGUAAGAAGCGUGAUGAUCCUAUGGUGGAAGUGAUGUCACAAUAUGUGGAGAUAAAACAGAAGCAAGCGGAGGAGGAGUCUGCUCUAUUGGCCGGGGCAAAAAAUGCCCAAGAAUUCUCCAUCAGCAAGUGCAUUGCUGUUUUGCACAAGAUGGAAAGUAUCCACCGCGAUGAAAGAGCCACUGCCUACAAAGUGUUCAAAAGUGUUGAGAACCGUGAGAUCUUUCUUAAUUCUGCCGCCGAAGAUGAAGAGAGUGUUGCAGUGUUUCUUCAGAGCGAAAUGGCAGAAUUGACUCAACAUACUUAA